AUUAGGUGGGACGUUGAUGGACUUUGGAUCAUCGCUCCCGUGAGAGAGAGAGAGAGAGAGAGAGAGAGAGGACACUUGGGAUAAAAUUGCUUUCAUUAUCGUUCAAGUUGUUGACUCAGACUUGGGAGCCAAGAAUGGAGAAUCAAGAGAUUGCCAAGAGUAAGGAUCUGAAGGUGGAGGUCUCGUGUGAGACCGAGAUCGCCGCCCCGUCCGGCCUCGCAAGGCAGCCCAGCGCCACGAAGAACGCCUGCCUGUGCUCGCCGACCACCCACCCCGGUUCGUUCCGGUGCCGGCUCCACCGCGCGCCCUCGCUCCAGAGGACAAGAAGCAUGGACACUUCCUCGACCUUCACUCAAGAUUCGCCCACAAAAAGCAGUUGACGAGAUCCCAUUUCCACGAAUCUGAUCGAAUGCUUCGAAGGCUAAAGUUAAGCUGUGGUUUUUGGCUGAAAGUGGUCUCCUUUAAUUUUGUGUGUGUGUGUGUGAUAUGUGUAUCGGCUAUUUGGCUCUGACAUGGAUGUCUUCGCCACUGUUAACUGAAGAUUAGUGAAUACUUUUGCAUGGUUGAUAUGUAUUUUAUCAUGUAGACCUCGUAUGUUUAUCUUCAUACAAGUUUU